GUUGUAGGGGAGGAGGAGAAUUAGAAGGGAAAAGUCACAAACACCUCAAACUGGAAGGAAACCACACAAGUGCAAUAAAACAAUAGUAGUCGCUGUGAGUCCCCUUUGUAUCUGGAUUUAAACAUUGAGGUCAAUGUUUAGUUCAGGUGUGGGGGGGUUUUUCCUUUCAUGUUUUAUUUCGUUUUCAUUUUGUUCAUGUUUUCCUUCAUCAUUUUUGGCUUUCGUUUUUGCUUCUGUUGUCGUAGUAUUUUGUUUUUUUUACCUGUGUGUACAGAGUGAUGAGAAAUUGUUGGACGAAUCCGGGAUCGAUUGUAGUGGAUGAAAGACACCCCUCAUACUUGUUCUGUUAAGGUACCCCGGAAGUUGAUGCAACC
rnacentral:lncRNA from 1 species